rnacentral:lncRNA from 1 species
AUGCCUGACUUAAAAUCCCUGGCCUGGAAGAGACACCACUCUUGCUAUGUUAUUGGGAUGAAGGAAGGAUGGUCACAUGGAAAAUGGCGAGAAGUCUGCCUACCACUGUGGAAAUCUCAGCUUUCCUGGCACAUCUAGUAAAACUUUGAGGUUUGUUUUAUCUUGAGUGAACCACUGAAUCUAUAACUAACAAACUGAUUUUAAAGCAACAGCUUCCCCUGGAGCCCAGUGCUGUGGUGUUUUGGAGUCAGGCGUGAAUCUAAGCUCAUGUUGACCACCACCUAGUUGUCUCAGGUGGGUCAAUUCAUUUACUUAAGAGCAAUGAGCUUUUGUUUCCACAGCUGUAAAAUACACAAUUCCCUUCUUAACUGGAUUUAUAAAAGUUACAAAACUUAUAAAUACUUUUUAUAAACUGUCAAAAAAUACAGAUGUGUAUGAAGAGUUGUUAUUCUUACCUGUCAUUCCAGCCAUCCUGAUGUAAUUAAUAUUUUGAUGUGAAUCCUCAUUUGUCUUUCUCUAUAUGCUUUCAAGUUUAUAGCAAUAUAGCAUCUUACCACAUAUUGAGAGCUCAAAAAAUCUAUGUUAAGUGAAUAAAAUAAGGUAUAUAUAUAUAUAUAGACACACACACACACAGAGAUAUAUUAUACACAGGAGUUUUUCCUUUUUAUAAAAAUAAGACCUGAC